GACGAACGCUGGCGGCGUGCCUAAUACGUGCAAGUCGAGCGGAUCUUCAUUAGCUUGCUUUUGAAGAUCAGCGGCGGACGGGUGAGUAACACGUGGGCAACCUGCCUGUAAGACUGGGAUAACUUCGGGAAACCGGAGCUAAUACCGGAUAAUCCUUUUCCUCUCAUGGGGAAAAGCUGAAAGACGGUUUCGGCUGUCACUUACAGAUGGGCCCGCGGCGCAUUAGCUAGUUGGUGAGGUAACGGCUCACCAAGGCGACGAUGCGUAGCCGACCUGAGAGGGUGAUCGGCCACACUGGGACGGAGACACGGCCCAGACUCCUACGGGAGGCAGCAGUAGGGAAUCUUCCGCAAUGGACGAAAGUCUGACGGAGCAACGCCGCGUGAGCGAUGAAGGCCUUCGGGUCGUAAAGCUCUGUUGUCAGGGAAGAACAAGUACCGGAGUAACUGCCGGUACCUUGACGGUACCUGACCAGAAAGCCACGGCUAACUACGUGCCAGCCGCCGCGGUAAAAC
rnacentral:rRNA from 1 species